GACAGUCUCAGUUCCAUACAGUACUUAUCGCAUUGGAGGAAGGUUAAAGACAAUACAGGAGCUUCAAUCCUGCACAAAUUUAAAACCCUCUCACGAUUGCGUGAAGUCCUUCUCCAGUGGAUCCUUUCUCACGUUGGGGUUCUCGGCAAUGAUAUCGCCGACACUCUGGCUAAGGAGGGGACAGAAGAAACUUUGAUGUGUUCAGAUUCACUCACCUUCUUGGAACUGGCAUCGAAAAAAAAAGAAGACAAUGUUUCCUGGCUCGUACCCCCCAAAUAUCACUGGUACCAUAGCAUCCAUCCAGGAGGUGAGCUCAACAUUCGGUGCAACCGCAAGGAGCAGACGGCGAUUACCAGCGGCCACCUUAAAAGCCAUAUCACACAUAGCAAAAAUUCGUUCAAUUCAACCUCCAACUCAACCCCAACUUCAACUCCGAAGACAACCCCGUCCGAAAACAUAGGUGUGCUAUACUUAUCCGAGUUGAAACAACUGUUGUUCAACUAUUUCACUUCCCUACAAAAGUGUUGAAGCAACUUCACAAGUCAACCAAUCAGGUGGCAGCAACUGCAUGGGAUUAUGGGAUAGCACAAGUCAAAACAAUAUGGCCGCAAAGUUUACGUUUACGAAGCAGCGAUCCAAUUUGUUAUAUUUUAAUUCAGUCAACAUGAGCCUCCCAGACUCUUUCAAAUGGACAGUUGAAAUGGAGAGCUUAUUCAUUGAACUCAUCAGAAAGAAGGAAAACGUUUGGAACAUAAAGUCCUCAUAUUAUAAGAAUCGAAUCCUGAGAAGAGUCCGUUUUACUGAAAUAUCAACAAAACUCAUCUCGCGGAAUAUCCUCAGUAUGCUUCAGAAUUGACAUGCGAAAAGCUGCAAAAAAAAUUCAGUAAUUUGAAGACGAUCUUUCAAAGAAAUUUGAAGAAAGUGAAAACCCUAACAAGUGGUGCUGGAUAUGAGGGAGCUUGUCCCUGGGUACAUUUCAAUGCCUUGAAAUUCUUAGUGGAUGCGGAGGACUGUGAAGAGAGCUUUUCUAAUUUGGAGGAAAAUGAUUCUCUGAUUUUAAGCCAGAAUGUGGAACAAUCAAAUGAUCCUCUGGAUUCAAUAACCUUUGCAUGCAGUUAUACUCAAGAUAUCGUAGAAGAUCACAAGGAUUAUCUUGAACAAGAAAUAAUGAAUGAAAAUGAUGAACAAUAAAUGGUAGAGGAUAACUAUCCGGGGGCUUCGAAAGAUAAACCUAAACUGAAGCAAAGGAAGAAAAGAAAGGCAGAUAACGCUGAGGAAGAUUUGCUACAAGAAGCAAUGACCUCCUUGCGCCGGAUACCUGCUCCGAAGGAAGCUUCCAUUGAGGAUACAUGUGGGUUAUAUGUGGCCCAAAUUCUAAAACAAAUACCCGACAAAGAGAAAAGAAUUCGGGCUCAAAAAAAAAUUAUUAAAACAGCAUUUAAGUUUUUAAUGGAUUAAUAAAUUUUCAUAUUGUUCUAAAUCUUUUUCGUACCUUUAUAAGUUUUUUUCUUUUUACUCAUCUAGAUUUGUUGUGUAUGAAUUUCAGAAGUGUAUUUUUAAGUGAUAAUUUCAUAAUGGGUGGCCAAGCUCGUUAAUAGUCGAGCCAUUUUUCAAAAUUUGAAAUUUUAGCGAGCCGCAAUUAAAUACAUAUUCAAAAGGUAUGCUAAAAUUAUUAUUACAUUUUUUUUACAGAAAUU